UUCCCCAAAAACCUCACCGUAGUGCCGCCUACCGCUCCCAUGGCGUUCCCAGCCUGUGCCGGGCUGGGCCUGCUCUGAUUUAUGAGGCAGUCCUGUGUCAUACUCUCAACCUGAAAAGGAUUUCUUCUCUUAUGUGUACCAGGGUGGUCAGUGGCAGCUCUCCCUGGAAAGACAGAAAAAGGCCCGUCUCCGGGGGCCUCAAUCCCAGAAAGUCUUCUCACCCCUCUGUGCCAACAACCAGGACAUUUUGGACAUUACCAGAAUCAGAGUGUUUCAAUAGUGGUGUGUUUCAGCAGUGCAGAGGUCAGAGUCCAUGCACCCGCGCCUACACAGCCUCACCGCCAUAAUUUGCUCUCAGGUCAGGCCGAGGGCCCAGCAGGCUCCCAGCGCAGGUCACGGAGGGCCUCCACAUCCCAGAGAGGAGAUUCCAGACUGGCAUGAAGAAGAGUGUUUGAUGUGGCCCUGAGCUGGAGCUAUGUUACCGCGUUGCUAUGCCUUUAAUUAGCUCCAGCAGCUGCUACUUCCUGGUUGACGGGCCCUGGCAAACCGCAGUGUCUCAGUAAUCCCUCACAGGUGACAGUCGGUCGCACGUCAGCUCCUUGUGUGGUGACAGGCUGUGUGUUCUCCUUUGAGUCAGGUAUCGGAGCUUUAGUGUCUGUUUUCGGAGGAUGCAAUCAUGAUUAAGAGACUGCAAAGUUCUCUUGGUGACAGUAAAAGUGCCACUCUGCAUUGUUUAUCUGGAUUUCCAGCCCGCACAAAGACAUCUUAAACCACGGGAAAUUACCCUCUGAGGACCGACGGCUUGAAAUUGAUCUCAGAGCAGACGAGCGCACCUUGCUCCCUGCUCCCCUUUGUCACACCCAGGAUCAGUUAUGGUUCCCAUGUGCAACACAUGUGACAAGAAGAAGAUGUCCUGCGAAAUGGAGCAGAAUCUGACAUGAAAGACUCAUCCCUGCCUGUAAGAUAAGUACUUUGAGAACUACAUGCCAGAGCCGCGAGGGAAUGAGCUCACAGAUGUAACAUGUUUAAACCUACUGAUGCAAUGACAGCUUUACAUUCAAUGCAUAAAAAGGACAUGUGAGUCAUGUUCAUUUUAUAUUCGAUGAACGUUAUUUGAUAAACUGUACAUAGCUCAUGACAUCUCACCGGAUUCUUUAUUUAGAGACACAGCCAUUAAAUUAAUUAGCGUGGAAAUGUCUCAUUUUACAGUAUGUCAGUAAUUGUGCCCUAUUUGUGCGUGUCCCGGAAUGUGUGCGCACGUCGUAGUUGUCUUUUUGUUUGACCGCGCCUCCAUGUGCCCCCCCCGUGCCAAUGCCAGUGUGUGCCCAUAUGCAGGGGGUACGAGCGCUCCACUGUUACUCUGUGCCUGUGUGUGCGCCCAUGUGUGUUGUGUGCAGCCUAUUAGUGGAGUUUAACCCCUGUGUUCGGGGAGUCACAUCCCCUCAACCCACCGGGCUCCAUUCUUACUGCAGCACGUUAACAUUUUAUUCUCUUCCCCCACCUCCCCCUCCCCCCUUCACUUUUGUCCUAAGAGGGCAAUUAAGGAAACAAACGUUUUCCCCAAGAUAAGCUUGCUGCCAGCUUUGCAUACUAAUGCCAUGCCAAGUGGUUACAAAUAGUGAGUGCUCUAAUUACUGCCACUGUUUUCAAUCAGAAAUUGCUCAAUUUCCCAGGAUGAGGUCUCCAUGGCUGGAGAAAAAAAACAGAAGCAAAACCUGACAGAGGCAAGAGACAAUCAUCUCUAUGUGGAUUGUGUCUGAUUUUGUCUGUGUGUGUGUGUGUGUGUGCCCGCAUGUGUGCACGCCUGUUGGUGCAAAUAAACUCAUCUGUUUCUCUCUGUGUGUGUAGACGCCGACACAACCCCUUCUAUCGCUGCUGCCCUUGACAAGUCAAGAAACGGAUCCCGACAGCCUCUACAGCAUUUAGCACCACAAUUAUCCCCUUUUCACGGCCCGGCUGCAUUAAUGUAAACCACACCAGGCAGUAGUUGCUACUCAGUGAUGAGCACAAUGUGGCGCAUCAUCUCUGAGUGAGCAAUUUGGUUUCAAUUGUGCUGCUGUGUGAUCAUCGGCGCAAAUCACGGCCUGCUCAUUUAUUAAGCAAUUUCUGUUGGAGAAAAUUAGAAGGGAGGACUCAUAAUUGGGCAGGAGAUAGUAAUAUCUCUAAAAGCAACAAUAAUGGAUGAUGUGGCCGACAUCAAACAAAAGAAGCAAGCGAGUUAAGCCCACCGGGGAGGUGUGUAGCAUUCGGAAUGGAAUAGCCACCGUUUGGCGUUGGGUGUCCAUCAGGAGUAUGUGUGUGUGUGUGUGUGUGUGGGGGGGGGUGGGGUGUGCAGCACAGACCUAGAGUGACAGGGACUCACUCCCUGGGUGUGAGAAUGAGUCACUCCGUAGGACGCACGCGGGAUCCAUCCGUUGGCCUUAGCUGACCUUUUCGCUCUGACGGUGGCUAAUGGAGGGCUGGCCCCCGGAUCAAUGCGCCGAGAGAUUGGGCUCGUCCUCGCCCUUUUAACCGGGCCAGGGAAGGGCCGGCUGCUGCCAAGAAGCCACGCCGCGAAGCCAUCGACCCCGCCGCUCUCCCAUCCUGUGGGUGGCAGCUGCGGUGCCAAUGGAGCCCGGGGGAAGCCACGCAGGAAGGACAGCCGGCAUCGCUGUAUCUGCGGCGUCGGGGGGGGAGUCACCGAUAAUCUGCUCGUGAAUGUCAGAUCUAUACGUAAACAACCCCAGCAAACACUUUGGUGUGGAGUAGAUGAUGAUGUUGAUGUAAACUUGCACGGCAAGAUUUGAAAGUAUUCCUCCCUUAAGGGAUGUUUUUAUUUCCAUUAUAUCCAAUUUAUACUUUUUUAAUAUGCGGCUCAUAAAGGGUGUAAAAGUGAAAAAUGUUUUAAACCAGCAAAUGCAAGAUUCAAAUUGUCAACAGAUUCCACCUGCUUGAUUUGAUAGAAGUUGAGCAGAGGUGAUUACAUCUGCAUAAUAUCGCUUCAGCAAAAGCUAAAAAAUGUUUUGUCAGUAUAAGAAUUGAUCAAAUAAAGCCUGACUCCAAGUGUUAGAAGUUGCUUGCAUUACUUUUGCACUUCAAAUGUUACCGUCGGGAAUAGCUUCUUUUUUUUUCUCCUGAAAGUUGGUGAAGCGCUUUAACACCCAGAUGGUGCACCACUGUAUACCUUUAAUCUGCUAUUUUCUGUCAAUAAACAAUGCACAAAACAAUAUUUACUGUGAAUUUUAAUUGCAAAUACUUCAAUUCAAAGAUGUAAAAAUAUUCAAAACAAUAGCAGGAUCAUACAUCCAGUCCAUAUGGAGAGAGAGGAGGAGACAACCAAGAGGUUUAGCACCGAUUGUUCUUUUUAUUAUCAUUAACAGUAAUGUGAUUCUGAAGCCUCCCGUGACCUCCUCACAGCAGCAUCUCAUCUCAGAAGUCAUUCAUUAGAACAAACAGAAGGCUGGCAGAAAGACUGCGAGAAAGAGACAUGGGGAGAGAGCAUAGUGUAAAAUAAAUUAAAUCGUGUUUAUUAGAUGAACCACUUUGAGACGGCGGAAGAAAGCAUGCUUCAGAAAUUCAAAGGAUUUAUUGUUGUAACGCGUUUGGAGACGGAGCCCGCGAUCCAGUUGUUGGUCUUGCGCAAUGUGUAAUCGCAGUUACACUUACUGUCCAUUUUGGGUUGCAAGGUCCACGGGGAGUCUUGAGACAUGCGUCUGAGCAGUGCAUGUUUGGAUUGAGAUACAGCGUUUCUGUUCAAGACCAUAGGCCGCUGCAGACUGUGUAGUGAAACUAAUCAGAAAGCUUCUUAUGUCUUCUUCCACUGAUAUGGCUGGAUUGUACAGUUCCCACAUGCUUUUGGCCCGGCGUUUACUGAAUUUCUCUUUAAAUUAAGUCCCCUCGUUUCCAUCUCGGUAAGAGCUUUUCUCUCUGCACACCCCCCCCCCGACACCUCUUAUCGUACCGGUCCGGUAAAGAUCGACCUCUAUAUAUGUCAGUGUGUCAAUGCAUACAUAUGUGAGGAUAAAACGGGAUACGGAGCGGUCAGAGGCUCUGUUGGGCCAGGG